CCUACGGGGGGCAGCAGUGGGGAAUAUUGGACAAUGGGGGGAACCCUGAUCCAGCCAUGCCGCGUGUGUGAAGAAGGCCCUCGGGUUGUAAAGCACUUUCAGUGAGGAAGAACGCCUGGUGGUUAAUACCCAUCAGGAAAGACAUCACUCACAGAAGAAGCACCGGCAACUCCGUGCCAGCAGCCGCGGUAAUACGGAGGGUGCGAGCGUUAAUCGGAAUUACUGGGCGUAAAGCGCGCGUAGGUGGCUUAAUAAGCCGGUUGUGAAAGCCCCGGGCUCAACCUGGGAACGGCAUCCGGAACUGUCAAGCUAGAGUGCAGGAGAGGAAGGUAGAAUUCCCGGUGUAGCGGUGAAAUGCGUAGAGAUCGGGAGGAAUACCAGUGGCGAAGGCGGCCUUCUGGACUGACACUGACACUGAGGUGCGAAAGCGUGGGUAGCAAACAGGAUUAGAUACUCUAGUAGUC
rnacentral:rRNA from 1 species